GACGAACGCUGGCGGCGUGCCUAAUACAUGCAAGUAGAACGCUGAAGCUUGGUGCUUGCACCGAGCGGAUGAGUUGCGAACGGGUGAGUAACGCGUAGGUAACCUGCCUGGUAGCGGGGGAUAACUAUUGGAAACGAUAGCUAAUACCGCAUGAUAUUGAUUAUUGCAUGAUAGUCAAUUAAAGGGUGCAAUUGCAUCAC
rnacentral:rRNA from 1 species